UACAGAGGGGGCAAGCGUUGUUCGGAAUUACUGGGCGUAAAGGGCGCGUAGGCGGCCGCCUAAGUCAGACGUGAAAUCCCUCGGCUCAACCGGGGAACUGCGUCUGAUACUGGGUGGCUUGAAUCCGGGAGAGGGAUGCGGAAUUCCAGGUGUAGCGGUGAAAUGCGUAGAUAUCGGGAGGAACACCAGUGGCGAAGGCGGCGAUCUGGGAAGAUACUGACGCUGAGGUGCGAAAGCGUGGGGAGCAAACAGG
rnacentral:rRNA from 1 species